CAGCAUGGAGAAAGAGAUAGCUCUACUCCACAGGCUUUGGAACCCUACUUUUAUGGCCUCUUGGCUUUUCUUAAGAAGCAUUCCAUGCAUCAGAUUUCCUCCAUCCCAUCCCUCCUGGCUGACUCCCUUCGGUCCACAGGAGUCCUCAUCCUGGGAUCAUUAUGCAAUCCCCAUGGCUCCAGCUCCCAGCUUCCGUGGACACCAGUGGACUUACAACCCUGUCUGAGAUGGAUUGAAGACUUCCAAAAUUUGCAGCUGAAACUCACAUCAUGUGAUAUUUUCAAAUGUACUUUUCUAAAUGGUGAUGGCAACCAUGGGAUCAACCCCAGUUGGCAGACAUGAGGAGACAAGCAGAACAGAGGCCAAGAGAGCAAGCUCAGAGCACAGCGUCGUCUGGCAGCUGUCUGGUGGGGAGAGAAGGCUGAGCUUCUAUUUCUCAACCUUGACUGUCUCACUGUAGUCAUCACAACUUAAUGAAGUUCUGAGAUUUUAAACAUUCACGGACUGAGUUUACAGAUUCCUCCUUCAAUUGGAAAAGUAAUAUAUAUUUCUGAUUUUCAAUUACAA